rnacentral:rRNA from 1 species
GAUUCCCCUAGUAACGGCGAGUGAAGAGGGAAGAGCCCAAGAUUGAAAGCUGGCGCCUUCGGCGUCCGCAUUGUAAUCUCAAGAAGUGUUUUCCGCUUCGGACCAUGCCUAAGUCCCUUGGAAAAGGGCAUCAUAGAGGGUGAUAAUCCCGUACAUGGCAUGGAGCGCCCGAAGCUUUGUGAUACGCUUUCUAAGAGUCGAGUUGUUUGGGAAUGCAGCUCAAAAUGGGUGGUAAAUGCCAUCUAAGGCUAAAUAUUGGGGAGAGACCGAUAGCGAACAAGUACAGUGAUGGAAAGAUGAAAAGAACUUUGAAAAGAGAGUUAAACAGUACGUGAAAUUGCCAAAAGGGAAGGGUAGGAGGUCAGAGAUGCGUCGCAGGAUUCAGCCUUGCUUUUGCUUGGUGUUUUUCCUGCGUUGCAGGCCAACGUCGGUUUUGGGCACUGGAGAAGGGUAGGAGGAACGUGGCACCUCUCGGGGUGUGUUAUAGCCUCCUACUGGAUACAGCGACCGAGACCGAGGAACGCAGCGUACUCGUAAGAGCGGGCCUUUUGGCACCUUUACGCUUAGGGCGUUGGCAUAAUGGCCCUCUACCACCCGUCUUGA